rnacentral:rRNA from 1 species
GUGGGGAAUCUUGCGCAAUGGGCGAAAGCCUGACGCAGCCAUGCCGCGUGAAUGAUGAAGGUCUUAGGAUUGUAAAAUUCUUUCACCGGGGACGAUAAUGACGGUACCCGGAGAAGAAGCUCCGGCUACUUCGUGCCAGCAGCCGCGGUAAUACGAAGGGGGCUAGCGUUGCUCGGAAUUACUGGGCGUAAAGGGCGCGUAGGCGGACAGCUUAGUCAGAGGUGAAAGCCCAGGGCUCAACCUUGGAAUUGCCUUUGAUACUGGCUGUCUUGAGUUUGGGAGAGGUGAGUGGAAUUCCGAGUGUAGAGGUGAAAUUCGUAGAUAUUCGGAGGAACACCAGUGGCGAAGGCGGCUCACUGGCUCGAUACUGACGCUGAGGUGCGAAAGCGUGGGGAGCAAACAGGAUUAGAAACCCCUGUAGUCC